UAGACCUCAAAUCAGUCAGGACUACCCGCUGAACUUAAGCAUAUCAAUAAGCGGAGGAAA
rnacentral:rRNA from 1 species